UACAGAGGUCUCAAGCGUUGUUCGGAUUCAUUGGGCGUAAAGGGCGCGUAGGCGGCAUCGCAAGUGGAAGGUGAAAUCCCUCGGCUUAACCGAGGAACUGCCCUCCAACUGCGUUGCUUGAGGCCGGGAGAGGUGAGUGGAAUUCCCAGUGUAGCGGUGAAAUGCGUAGAUAUUGGGAGGAACACCAGUGGCGAAGGCGGCUCACUGGACCGGUUCUGACGCUGAGGCGCGAAAGCGUGGGGAGCAAAGCGGG
rnacentral:rRNA from 1 species